rnacentral:rRNA from 1 species
GGUGAAUUCUUACUGGCGAACGGGUGAGUGCGCGUAGGCAACCUGCCCUUUGGAUGGGGACAACAUUCCGAAAGGAGUGCUAAUACCGAAUGUGAUCCAUUUCUCGCAUGAGAGAUGGAUGAAAGAUGGCCUCUAUUUAUAAGCUAUGGGCAGGUGAUGGGCCUGUGUCUGAUUAGUUAGUUGGUGGGGUAACGGGUCACCAAUACGAUGAUCAGUAUGCGGGCGGAGAGGAUGAAGGGCGAGUUUGGGACUGAGACACGGCCCAAACUAC